GGCUUACACUUGAUCUCUGAAUAUAACAGGUAAGUACUGUUGACAAAAUUCAUAUUGCUGAUGCA